GAUCAGAAGCGGACAAGCAAACAGCGGAUGUGCAGUUCCUCUCUUCGCCGAACCCGGUUUUCCCUUUCGGAGCAGCGCGACCGAUUUCCGGUUUCCCCGCCGCAACCACCGUUACCCCCCCCCCGCCCCAAUCCCCGGCGACUCCAGCGACGUCACCGGUUCAGCUCCUGACCUUUCGGCGAACCGCAGAACCACAGGCGACCCGUUCGACGUCAUCACUCCCCGCCCAGAUGUCGCUGUGACAUCACCCCGCACGUGCCUGCGCUGGCACCGCGUCGUCCUGGCGAGCGCCUCCUCGCGGCGGAAGGAGAUCCUGGGGUUCGCUGUGCGAGACAUGUCGGCGGGGUUUCACGUGAGUGACACUUGGUCCCCACGGGAUUGACAGCGACUAGCGGAGUGGCAUGUGGACGUAGCUUCAGGUGAGUGACCUGUUUUUUCCCAAGAGGCACUGACAGACAGGCCAGGGACGGAGCCUGAGCGAGGGCUGGGAGUGGCUGAGCGUGAGUGACAGGGGCCUGGGGCGGGGUCUUAACUAAGCUCCUGCAAGAGACAUAGAUUUGCAUGGGGUCUAAGUUUCAUUGCUGCUCGUUUGCAUGAAUUUGAGUGAAUUUGAAUGGCUGCUUGGUUUUGUUCUACCCAGGUUUAUAUAACCUCCCCUGACCUGUAUAAAUUAGCAUAUCGUGUACGUUGGGAAUUUGCAUACGCUCAUGUGACAUCAGUUUCGCAUGAUGAAAAUUUGCAUAAAUUUGCAUAAUGACAGCUCCCCUGAGUAAAUUUCCAUAAACAUAAACGAUGUUAUGGCUUUACUCUGCGUGUAUUUGUCAUGUAAAUUUGCAUGCAUUUGCAUAAAACUGCAUGACGUUAUGGCUUUUCCUGAGUUCAGAUGAUGUCACAGUUUCCCUCCUUGCCAUUGACACGUGUCCAGAUGAUGUCAUCACCCUGUGACACCCCCCCCCCCGCAUUUGUAUAUAUUGUAUAUAUUCUCUUGACGUCCUGGCUGGGGGUGUGCCCAAGAGUGAUUGAGUCAUUGUGGGCAGGGCCUUGACGCGUGUCUGACCCCACCCAUUCACCCCUUCCCCCCACCCCAGGGCCUGGCCUUCAUGGUCGUCCAUCCUGCCUUCCCCGAGAUGCUGAGCAAGGCCACCUGGCCCUGCCUCCAGUACUUUGCCGCGAGGGGGGGGGGGCACAAAGGUCAGUGGGAAGGGGCCUCAGGGUAGCUACUUUCAUCUUUUUAGGAAGAUGGGCGUGGUCUGUUGGUGGCCAUACCCACUGUAAGUGGCAUCAUGAUUGCAGUUCUGAGUUUGGGAGAAGAGGGUGGGUUCUGGGGAUGAUGGAGCGGGGAAAUGAGGUCACCACACCAACCACAAGUGAUGUCACUUCCUGCUUUUUGGGAGCUUUAUGGGCAAGACAUCAGGAUGGUGGGUGGGGCCAGGCCCACUGGAAGUGAUGUCAUUUUCAGGAUUUCUGACUUGUGGGUGGGGCUUCUGUGAGGGGCUGCCAGGAAGUCUGGUAUGAUGUCACUUCCAGCUCCACCCGUCCCUCCCCCAGGAAGACCCAGAGACCUUGACCCUGUGGUGGUGUGUGGCCCUGCCCCUUCCACACCCAUUGCAGGCCUCGACCCUUUUCAUCUUAUCCCCGCCCACUUCCCAACGCCAUUGCACACUUCCAGCCAAGCCCACUGUGCCUGGCCAUGCCCUCCACUUCCUGUCCCGCCCAUCACCUCAGGCCCUGCCUGCUUACUUCCUGUCAUGCAAAUUUGUGCAAAUCUAUUCAGGUGACCUCACUGACCCCGCCCCUGACUCCACCCCUUGUGAUGACCCCACCACUGACCCACAGGCCUUGGAGGGGCUGAUCCUGGAGAAGUCAAAGGACCAGGAGGACGCCAUGGGGGGUGCUGUACAGGCUGAGCAGGAAGCAGAGCAGCACAGCGUCAUCAUGAGGGUAGCCAUCUUCACCUGGGGCAUCCACGGAGGCCCUGCCCAGGAAGUGACUUUCUCUCUACUGUAGGAGGAGCUGAUCCACGACUACUUGGACAACAGCACACCAGCGAAGGAUGGUGAGGCCCUGCCCCCUGCCUGCACAUGACACUGCCCACGCCCUGUCUGAGACUCUACCAAGUGGUUCUGGGAUAAUAGAUUGAGGGGAUGGGGGCUGCAUACAUUUGCAUGAUUUUGCAUAUUUUGGGCUCAUUUGAAUAAAUUUGUAUAAGUUAACACCA
rnacentral:lncRNA from 1 species